rnacentral:rRNA from 1 species
UUUCCGGUUGAUUCCUGCCGGACCCCACCGCUAUCGGGGUGGGACUAAGCCAUGCGAGUCGGCGCCCUCCAGCCGACGGGGAGGGCGCGGCGGACGGCUCCGUAACACGUAGCUAACUUACCCUCAGGACGGGAAUAACCCCGGGAAACUGGGGCUAAUUCCCGAUAGGUGAGGAGGCCUGGAAUGGUCCCUCACCGAAAGGGUGCUGGAACCGUGCUUCCGGCACCGCCUGAGGAUAGGGCUGCGGCCGAUCAGGUAGUUGGUGGGGUAACGGCCCACCAAGCCUAUAACCGGUACGGGCCGUGAGAGCGGGAGCCCGGAGAUGGGCACUGAGACAAGGGCCCAGGCCCUACGGGGCGCAGCAGGCGCGAAACCUCCGCAAUGCGCGCAAGCGUGACGGGGCUACCCCGAGUGCCGCCCGCUGAGGGCGGCUUUUCCCCAGUGUAAACAGCUGGGGGAAUAAGGGGAGGGCAAGUCGGGUGUCAGCCGCCGCGGUAAUACCCGCUCCCCGAGUGGUGGGGACGAUUAUUGGGCUUAAAGCGUCCGUAGCCGGCCUGGCAAGUCCCUCGUUAAAUCCAACGGCCUAACCGUUGGACUGCGGGGGAUACUGUCAGGCUAGGGGGCGGGAGAGGCCGGCGGUAUUCCCGGGGUAGGGGUGAAAUCCUAUAAUCCCGGGAGGACCACCAGUGGCGAAGGCGGCCGGCCAGAACGCGCCCGACGGUGAGGGACGAAAGCCGGGGGAGCGAACCGGAUUAGAUACCCGGGUAGUCCCGGCUGUAAACGAUGCGGGCUAGGUGUUGGCGCGACCACGAGUCGCGCCAGUGCCGCAGGGAAACCGUUAAGCCCGCCGCCUGGGGAGUACGGUCGCAAGACUGAAACUUAAAGGAAUUGGCGGGGGGGCACCACAAGGGGUGAAGCUUGCG